CUCAGUAAAGAAGAGUUAAAUCAGCAGAUAUGAAUCCAGGGGGUUAUACAGCAGAAGUUACAUGUCUUUCCCCUACUACUACUGAAAAGGAUGUUCAUGAUUUCUUGGUUUCUGUGGGGCAAUUGAACAUGUUGAGAUUGUCAGGUGUGUUUAAUAUCUGGGAGUGCAUUUACAAUUUUAUCACUCAUACUCUAUAUUUCCGUGUCAAUGGUUUAGGAUGAAAAGAAACGAAUUGGAAGGGGAAUUAUGAGUAGAGUUAUAUCUUCGAACUCACGAAUGUAUCUUCCUUGUUUUGCUUUUGUUUCAAUUUCUUCAAAUCCCUCAAAGUUCAAACUGACCCCUUAAUUGCAUUGUACGUACAAUGUAAGAUCAUCUUUUGUCGUCUUUUCUAAUACACAUAGCUUGGUAUAUGUACGAUAAACAAGUUUUGUAGCCACUAUUGUUUCUUGGGUUAUUAUCUU
rnacentral:lncRNA from 1 species